CUCCAGCAGUGGGGAAAGAUUUUGACAGGGAGGAGGCAGUGAGGAAAGCCUCUGCCAGCUCCUUGCUGCUGGAACCAUUCGCUGCCACAGGUAAAGACUACGACAGUGGAGAAAGGACCCUGCUGCAGGGAAUCAUCAAUUGUAUCAAAAGGCAUUGGUAUGUGUAUCUCCCCCUGCUUCUUCACCCCAAGAUGAGACUGUUUUGGGGAACCCUCAAGAAAGUGAAGGACUGUGUGAGGCAAUGGACACCCCUCAGAAAAGGAAGCACUUUUAAGGGGGGGGAGGGUAGAGGGUGUUUACAUGCAUGCACCAAUGUACAAUAGUGACUUCACUUCUCUCCUGUG